rnacentral:rRNA from 1 species
AAUACCGGAGAAUGUUAUCACGGGAGACACACGGCGGGUGCUAACGUCCGUCGUGAAGAGGGAAACAACCCAGACCGCCAGCUAAGGUCCCAAAGUCAUGGUUAAGUGGGAAACGAUGUGGGAAGGCCCAGACAGCCAGGAUGUUGGCUUAGAAGCAGCCAUCAUUUAAAGAAAGCGUAAUAGCUCACUGGUCGAGUCGGCCUGCGCGGAAGAUGUAACGGGGCUAAACCAUGCACCGAAGCUGCGGCAGCGACACUCAGGUGUUGUUGGGUAGGGGAGCGUUCUGUAAGCCUGUGAAGGUGGCCUGUGAGGGUUGCUGGAGGUAUCAGAAGUGCGAAUGCUGACAUAAGUAACGAUAAAGCGGGUGAAAAGCCCGCUCGCCGGAAGACCAAGGGUUCCUGUCCAACGUUAAUCGGGGCAGGGUGAGUCGACCCCUAAGGCGAGGCCGAAAGGCGUAGUCGAUGGGAAACGGGUUAAUAUUCCCGUACUUGGUGUUACUGCGAAGGGGGGACGGAGAAGGCUAUGUUGGCCGGGCGACGGUUGUCCCGGUUUAAGCGUGUAGGUGUGUGUUCCAGGUAAAUCCGGUUCACUUUAACACUGAGGCGUGAUGACGAGGCACUACGGUGCUGAAGCAACAAAUGCCCUGCUUCCAGGAAAAGCCUCUAAGCAUCAGGUAACAUCAAAUCGUACCCCAAACCGACACAGGUGGUCAGGUAGAGAAUACCAAGGCGCUUGAGAGAACUCGGGUGAAGGAACUAGGCAAAAUGGUGCCGUAACUUCGGGAGAAGGCACGCUGACAUGUAGGUGAAGUGAUUUACUCACGGAGCUGAAGUCAGUCGAAGAUACCAGCUGGCUGCAACUGUUUAUUAAAAACACAGCACUGUGCAAACACGAAAGUGGACGUAUACGGUGUGACGCCUGCCCGGUGCCGGAAGGUUAAUUGAUGGGGUCAGCGCAAGCGAAGCUCCUGAUCGAAGCCCCGGUAAACGGCGGCCGUAACUAUAACGGUCCUAAGGUAGCGAAAUUCCUUGUCGGGUAAGUUCCGACCUGCACGAAUGGCGUAAUGAUGGCCAGGCUGUCUCCACCCGAGACUCAGUGAAAUUGAACUCGCUGUGAAGAUGCAGUGUACCCGCGGCAAGACGGAAAGACCCCGUGAACCUUUACUAUAGCUUGACACUGAACAUUGAGCCUUGAUGUGUAGGAUAGGUGGGAGGCUUUGAAGUGUGGACGCCAGUCUGCAUGGAGCCGACCUUGAAAUACCACCCUUUAAUGUUUGAUGUUCUAACGUGGACCCGUGAUCCGGGUUGCGGACAGUGUCUGGUGGGUAGUUUGACUGGGGCGGUCUCCUCCUAAAGAGUAACGGAGGAGCACGAAGGUUGGCUAAUCCUGGUCGGACAUCAGGAGGUUAGUGCAAUGGCAUAAGCCAGCUUGACUGCGAGCGUGACGGCGCGAGCAGGUGCGAAAGCAGGUCAUAGUGAUCCGGUGGUUCUGAAUGGAAGGGCCAUCGCUCAACGGAUAAAAGGUACUCCGGGGAUAACAGGCUGAUACCGCCCAAGAGUUCAUAUCGACGGCGGUGUUUGGCACCUCGAUGUCGGCUCAUCACAUCCUGGGGCUGAAGUAGGUCCCAAGGGUAUGGCUGUUCGCCAUUUAAAGUGGUACGCGAGCUGGGUUUAGAACGUCGUGAGACAGUUCGGUCCCUAUCUGCCGUGGGCGCUGGAGAACUGAGGGGGGCUGCUCCUAGUACGAGAGGACCGGAGUGGACGCAUCACUGGUGUUCGGGUUGUCAUGCCAAUGGCACUGCCCGGUAGCUAAAUGCGGAAGAGAUAAGUGCUGAAAGCAUCUAAGCACGAAACUUGCCCCGAGAUGAGUUCUCCCUGAGACUUUAGGUCUCCUGAAGGAACGUUGAAGACGACGACGUUGAUAGGCCGGGUGUGUAAGCGCAGCGAUGCGUUGAGCUAACCGGUACUAAUGAACCGUGAGGCUUAACCUU